AGAUUGAACGCUGGCGGCAGGCCUAACACAUGCAAGUCGAGCGGAAACGAGCUAUCUGAACCUUCGGGGAACGAUAACGGCGUCGAGCGGCGGACGGGUGAGUAAUGCCUAGGAAAUUGCCCUGAUGUGGGGGAUAACCAUUGGAAACGAUGGCUAAUACCGCAUGAUGCCUACGGGCCAAAGAGGGGGACCUUCGGGCCUCUCGCGUCAGGAUAUGCCUAGGUGGGAUUAGCUAGUUGGUGAGGUAAGGGCUCACCAAGGCGACGAUCCCUAGCUGGUCUGAGAGGAUGAUCAGCCACACUGGAACUGAGACACGGUCCAGACUCCUACGGGAGGCAGCAGUGGGGAAUAUUGCACAAUGGGCGCAAGCCUGAUGCAGCCAUGCCGCGUGUGUGAAGAAGGCCUUCGGGUUGUAAAGCACUUUCAGUCGUGAGGAAGGCGGCGUCGUUAAUAGCGGCGUUGUUUGACGUUAGCGACAGAAGAAGCACCGGCUAACUCCGUGCCAGCAGCCGCGGUAAUACGGAGGGUGCGGGCGUUAAUCGGAAUUACUGGGCGUAAAGCGCAUGCAGGUGGUUUGUUAAGUCAGAUGUGAAAGCCCGGGGCUCAACCUCGGAAUUGCAUUUGAAACUGGCAGANUAGAGUACUGUANU
rnacentral:rRNA from 1 species